AAGGAGUCUAACAUAUCUGCGAGUAUUUGGGUGUCAAACCCGAGUGCGCAAUGAAAGUGAACGUAGGAGCCACGCGCAAGCUGCAGCUUCGACCGAUCUGGAUCUUUAGUGAUGGAUUUGAGUAAGAGCAUAUAUGUUGGGACCCGAAAGAUGGUGAACUAUGCCUGAAUAGGGCGAGGCCAGAGGAAACUCUGGUGGAGGCUCGUAGCGAUUCUGAAGUGCAAAUCGAUCGUCAAAUUUGUGUAUAGGGGCGAAAGACUAAUCGAACCAUCUAGUAUCGGUUGCUUGC
rnacentral:misc_RNA from 1 species